rnacentral:rRNA from 1 species
GACGAACGCUGGCGGCGUGCCUAAUACAUGCAAGUAGAACGCUGAAGGAGGAGCUUGCUCUUCUGGAUGAGUUGCGAAAGGGUGAGUAACGCGUAGGUAACCUGCCUGGUAGCGGGGGAUAACUAUUGGAAACGAUAGCUAAUACCGCAUAACAGUAGAUGUUGCAUGACAUUUACUUAAAAGGUGCAAUUGCAUCACUACCAGAUGGACCUGCGUUGUAUUAGCUAGUUGGUGGGGUAACGGCUCACCAAGGCGACGAUACAUAGCCGACCUGAGAGGGUGAUCGGCCACACUGGGACUGAGACACGGCCCAGACUCCUACGGGAGGCAGCAGUAGGGAAUCUUCGGCAAUGGACGGAAGUCUGACCGAGCAACGCCGCGUGAGUGAAGAAGGUUUUCGGAUCGUAAAGCUCUGUUGUAAGAGAAGAACGAGUGUGAGAGUGGAAAGUUCACACUGUGACGGUAUCUUACCAGAAAGGGACGGCUAACUACGUG